rnacentral:piRNA from 1 species
UUUUUAAUGUCACGGGCCAUU